AUGCCUGUGGGCCAUUGUGAAGAUCAGCUGGCACUGCAUCUCCAGCAGCUUAUGGGCAGGUUCCUGAUGGAGUUUGUGGUUUGUAGGGUCCGUGACCCUUUAAUGCCCACUGAGAGCCCUGGCAGUUUAGUAGAAGAAAUAAAGGAUGUUGCUUUCCAUCCUCUGAAGGUGGUCAUGGCUUCCAUGUGGCUGGGAUCCAAUAUUGCCCAGAAGGUAACUCAAGACCAACCAGCAAUGUUAGUGCAGGAGAAGGAGUCCGUGACCCUGGACUGCACAUAUGACACUGCUGUUACUACUUAUUAUCUAUUCUGGUACAAACAGCUCAAAAGUGGGGCAAUGAUUUUCCUUAUUCGCCAAGAUUCAUAUAACCAGCAAAAUGCCACAGAAAGUUGCUACUACUUGAAUUUUCAGAAAGCAUACAAUUCUGUCAGCCUUGUCAUCUCGGCCUCACAGCUAGAGGACUCCGCAUUGUAUUUCUGUGCCCUGGGAGAGCCCACAGUGAGAGGUGUGUUUGAAGGAGGUGUAUCAAAACCCCAAGGCUCUGCUUGAAGCAUCCACCUGCUGUAGAGACCAAGGCCAGGAAUUGCCAUCACAGACAGGAAGUGGUGAGGUCUGUGGUAACAUAUUAUAUGUGUAGAGUUAUCAUUCAUCAAAAGAUUGAAAAUUUGGUUUGAAAUUGUUUAUUAAAGACACAGAGCAGCCACAAUAAACAA